GCCUAGCCCUAAAUCUAGAUACUUCCCCUACCAAAGUACUCGCCCGAGAACUACGAGCACAAACGCUUAAAACUCUAAGGACUUGGCGGUGUCCCAAACCCACCUAGAGGAGCCUGUUCUAUAACCGAUAACCCACGAUGCACCCAACCACCUCUUGCUAAUGCAGCCUACAUACCGCCGUCGCCAGCUCACCUCCCCUGAGAGUUCCACAGUGAGCUCAAUAGUCCCCUCCCCACUAACAAGACAGGUCAAGGUAUAGCCUAUGAGGUGGAAGAAAUGGGCUACAUUUCCUAACAUAGGACAUACGGAACAAGGGCGUGAAACCGCCCCUAGAAGGAGGAUUUAGCAGUAAAGCUGAACAAUAGAGUCUACUUUAAACUGGCUCUGGGAC
rnacentral:rRNA from 1 species